GGGCCAGUAGCUCAGUUGGUAGAGCAGAUGACUCUUAAUCAUCAGGUCCCGGGUUCGAACCCCUGCUGGCUCA
rnacentral:tRNA from 1 species